AUUCCAGCUCCAAUAGCGUAUAUUAAAGUUGUUGCAGUUAAAAAGCUCGUAGUUGGAUUUCUGGUUUGAGCGUCCGGUCCGUCUUCUUUGAAGAUGCGUACUAAGGAUGUUUGAGCCAUUUUUUGUGAGGAUGUUUUUCUGCCAUUAAGUUGGUGGUUAAAUAGACUUGCAUCUUUUACUGUGAAAAAAUUAGAGUGUUUAAAGCAGGCGUUUGCUCAUUGAAUACAUUAGCAUGGAAUAAUAAGAUACGACUUUGGUGGUCUAUUUUGUUGGUUUGCACACCAGAGUAAUGAUUAAUAGGGACAGUUGGGGGUAUUCAUAUUUCAGCGUCAGAGGUGGAAUUCUUGGAUCGCUGAAAGAUGAGCUUAGGCGAAAGCAUUUACCAAGGAUGUUUUCAUUA
rnacentral:rRNA from 1 species